AGCGAACGUUAGCGGCGGGCCUAACACAUGCAAGUCGAACGAGAAUGUAGGCUUCGGUCUACUAGUAAAGUGGCGGACGGGUGCGUAACACGUGGGUAAUCUACCUUCCGGCGGGGGACAACAGUCCGAAAGGAUUGCUAAUACCGCAUACGUCAGCGGCGCCUACGGGCGCUGUUGGGAAAGAUGGCCUCUCCUUGGAAGCUAUCACCGGAAGAUGAGCCCGCGUCCCAUCAGCUAGUUGGUGAGGUAAUGGCUCACCAGGGCUAAGACGGGUAGCUGGUCUGAGAGGGUGAUCGGCCACACUGGGACUGCGGCACGGCCCAGACUCCUACGGGAGGGAGCAGUGGGGAAUAUUGGGCAAUGGGCGAAAGCCUGACCCAGCCACGCCGCGUGAGUGAUGAAGGCCUUCGGGUCGUAAAGCUCUGUGGGGAGGGACGAACAAAUCUGGGGCUAAUCACCCGGGUCCUGACGGUACCUCCUUAGCAAGCACCGGCUAACCCUGUGCCAGCAGCCGCCGUAA
rnacentral:rRNA from 1 species